rnacentral:rRNA from 1 species
UACGUAGGGUGCGAGCGUUAAUCGGAAUUACUGGGCGUAAAGCGUGCGCAGGCGGUUCGUUAAGUCAGAUGUGAAAGCCCCGGGCUCAACCUGGGAACGGCAUUUGAAACUGGCGGGCUGGAGUGUGGCAGAGGGGGGUGGAAUUCCACGUGUAGCAGUGAAAUGCGUAGAGAUGUGGAGGAACACCGAUGGCGAAGGCAGCCCCCUGGGUCAAGACUGACGCUCAUGCACGAAAGCGUGGGGAGCAAACAGG